rnacentral:rRNA from 1 species
CAGUCGCCACGGUAAUACGAGGGGGGCAAGCGUUGUUCGGAAUUAUUGGGCGUAAAGGGUGCGUAGGCGGUUUGAUAAGUCUGAUGUGAAAUCUCUGGGCUCAACCCAGAGUCUGCAUCGGAAACUGUCGGGCUUGAGUAUGGGAGAGGUGAGUGGAAUUUCCGGUGUAGCGGUGAAAUGCGUAGAUAUCGGAAGGAACACCUGUGGCGAAAGCGGCUCACUGGACCAUUACUGACGCUGAUGCACGAAAGCUAGGGGAGCAAACAGGAUUAGAUACCCCCGUAGUCCCUGUCUCUUAUAC